AUACGUAGGGUGCAAGCGUUAAUCGGAAUUACUGGGCGUAAAGCGUGCGCAGGCGGUUUUGUAAGACAGAGGUGAAAUCCCCGGGCUCAACCUGGGAACUGCCUUUGUGACUGCAAGGCUAGAGUACGGCAGAGGGGGAUGGAAUUCCGCGUGUAGCAGUGAAAGGCGUAGAUAUGCGGAGGAACACCGAUGGCGAAGGCAAUUCACUGGGACUGUACUGAUGCUCAUGCGCGAUAGCGUAGGGAGCAAACAGGAUUAGAUACCCGUGUAGUCCGCGCCCAAAACGAUGUCAACUGGUUGUUGGGUCUUCAUUGACUCAAUAACGAAGCUAACACGUGAAGGUGACCGCCUGGGGAGUACGGCCGCAAGGUUGAAACUCAAAGGAAUUGACGGAG
rnacentral:rRNA from 1 species